AUUGAACGCUGGCGGCAUGCCUUACACAUGCAAGUCGAACGGUAACGGGCCUUCGGGUGCCGACGAGCGGCGAGCGGGUGAGUAAUACAUCGGAACGUGCCCGAUCGUGGGGGAUAACGAGGCGAAAGCUUUGCUAAUACCGCAUACGAUCUACGGAUGAAAGCAGGGGACCGCAAGGCCUUGCGCGGACGGAGCGGCCGAUGGCAGAUUAGGUAGUUGGUGGGAUAAAAGCUUACCAAGCCGACGAUCUGUAGCUGGUCUGAGAGGAUGAUCAGCCACACUGGGACUGAGACACGGCCCAGACUCCUACGGGAGGCAGCAGUGGGGAAUUUUGGACAAUGGGCGCAAGCCUGAUCCAGCCAUGCCGCGUGCAGGAUGAAGGCCUUCGGGUUGUAAACUGCUUUUGUACGGAACGAAAAGCCUUCUUCUAAUACAGGAGGGUCAUGACGGUACCGUAAGAAUAAGCACCGGCUAACUACGUG
rnacentral:rRNA from 1 species